rnacentral:rRNA from 1 species
GCCCAGCCGUAAACUUUUAAUUACUCCCGAAUCGCCUGGGAACUACGAGCAAAGCUUAAAACCCAAAGGACUUGACGGUACCCCACAUCCACCUAGAGGAGCCUGUCCUAUAAUCGAUAAUCCCCGUUUAACCUCACCAUUUUUAGCUUAUCAGUCUGUAUACCUCCGUCCUCAGCUUACCUCGUGAGCGAAAUCUAGUAAGCCUAAUGCCCACACGCCAAUACGUCAGGUCAAGGUGCAGCAAAUGAAAUGGGAAGAGAUGGGCUACACUCUCUAACAUAGAACAUACGAAAGACUACCUAUGAAACCUGGUCAGAAGGCGGAUUUAGAAGUAAAAAGAAAAUAGAGUGUUCUUUUUAACCCGGCACUGGGGUGUGUACACACCGCCCGUCACCCUCUUCACAUAGACCUAAAUUAGUACUUAACAAAAUUUACCUAAUCAGAAGAGGCAAGUCGUAACAUGGUAAGUAUACCGGAAGGUGUGCUUGGAAA